rnacentral:rRNA from 1 species
GACGAACGCUGGCGGCGUGCUUAACACAUGCAAGUCGAACGGAAAGGCCCUGCUUUUGUGGGGUGCUCGAGUGGCGAACGGGUGAGUAACACGUGAGUAACCUGCCCUUGACUUUGGGAUAACUUCAGGAAACUGGGGCUAAUACCGGAUAGGAGCUCCUGCUGCAUGGUGGGGGUUGGAAAGUUUCGGCGGUUGGGGAUGGACUGGCGGCUUAUCAGCUUGUUGGUGGGGUAGUGGCUUACCAAGGCUUUGACGGGUAGCCGGCCUGCGAGGGUGACCGGCCACAUUGGGACUGAGAUACGGCCCAGACUCCUACGGUAGGCAGCAGUGGGGAAUGGUGCACAAUGGGCGGAAGCCUGAUGCAGCAACGCCGCGUGCGGGAUGACGGCCUGCGGGUUGUAAACCGCUGUCGCCUGUGACGAAGCGUGAGUGACGGUAAUGGGUAAAGAAGCACCGGCUAACUACGUG